rnacentral:rRNA from 1 species
GACGUAGGGGACGAGCGUUGUCCGGAUUUACUGGGCGUAAAGAGCGCGCAGGCGGUCGAUCAAGUCGAGUGUGAAAGCCCCCGGCUCAACUGGGGAGGGUCAUUCGAUACUGAUCGACUCGAAGGCAGGAGAGGGUAGUGGAAUUCCCGGUGUAGUGGUGAAAUGCGUAGAUAUCGGGAGGAACACCAGUGGCGAAGGCGACUACCUGGCCUGUUCUUGACGCUGAGGCGCGAAAGCUAGGGGAGCAAACGGG